GUGGAUUAGAUACCCUGGUAGUCCACGCCGUAAACGAUGAUAACUAGCUGUCCGGGCACUUGGUGCUUGGGUGGCGCAGCUAACGCAUUAAGUUAUCCGCCUGGGGAGUACGGUCGCAAGAUUAAAACUCAAAGGAAUUGACGGGGGCCUGCACAAGCGGUGGAGCAUGUGGUUUAAUUCGAAGCAACGCGCAGAACCUUACCAGCGUUUGACAUGUCUAGUAUGGUUUCCAGAGAUGGAUUCCUUCAGUUCGGCUGGCUAGAACACAGGUGCUGCACGGUCGUCGACAACU
rnacentral:rRNA from 1 species